rnacentral:rRNA from 1 species
UACGUAGGGUGCGAGCGUUGUCCGGAAUUAUUGGGCGUAAAGGGCUCGUAGGCGGUUUUGUCGCGUCGGGAGUGAAAACACCGGGCUUAACUCGGUGCUUGCUUUCGAUACGGGCAGACUAGAGGUAUGCAGGGGAGAACGGAAUUCCUGGUGUAGCGGUGAAAAUGCGCAGAUAUCAGGAGGAACACCGGUGGCGAAGGCGGUUCUCUGGGCAUUACCUGACGCUGAGGAGCGAAAAGUGUGGGGAGCGAACAGG